rnacentral:rRNA from 1 species
UACGUAGGGUGCAAGCGUUGUCCGGAAUUAUUGGGCGUAAAGAGCUUGUAGGCGGUUUGUCGCGUCUGCUGUGAAAUUUCGGGGCUCAACCCCGAACUUGCAGUGGGUACGGGCAGACUAGAGUGUGGUAGGGGAGACUGGAAUUCCUGGUGUAGCGGUGAAAUGCGCAGAUAUCAGGAGGAACACCGGUGGCGAAGGCGGGUCUCUGGGCCGAAACUGACGCUGAGGCACGAAAGCUAGGGGGGCAAACAGG